UACGUAGGGUGCGAGCGUUGUCCGGAAUUAUUGGGCGUAAAGAGCUUGUAGGCGGUUUGUCGCGUCUGCCGUGAAAAUCCGGGGCUCAACCCCGGACUUGCGGUGGGUACGGGCAGACUAGAGUGUGGUAGGGGAGACUGGAAUUCCUGGUGUAGCGGUGAAAUGCGCAGAUAUCAGGAGGAACACCGAUGGCGAAGGCAGGUCUCUGGGCAGUAACUGACGCUGAGGAGCGAAAGCGUGGGGAGCAAACAGGAUAGAAACCCUAG
rnacentral:rRNA from 1 species